UCCAAAACUCACUCGGAAGUGGAUACGUUUUUCCCGCUUCCUCUACGAGACUCACCAUUUCCUAAGUUAUUUUCAGCCAACAAUUAGCUACAGGAAAUCAGUUCCAGAUCUAUCCAGCCUACCAUGUCUGAACCAGGUUCUGGUUGUGGUGUUCCAGCCCAGAGAAGCCCACAGCGGGGUCCAGAGUUGUGUCAGUGACGCUGGGGACUGCAGUCAAACAGUGGAACUCAAUGUGAUUGUCAAAGAGGAGGAGGAGGAGAGAGAAAUCAAUGAGCGGGAGGAGGAAGAGAGAGAGGAGGACAGGGACUCUGUUGACUCAGGAGAGAUCCCCAACCCAGACACCGUCAACAAGCCCAGUUCCACAGCAUCAAGACUACCUGGGCAUGGGAGUUACUCGUGUCCUCAAUGUGAGAAGAGUUUCAGUUCCUCA